rnacentral:lncRNA from 1 species
UAUCACUGAGCUACACUCUUAGCCCUUUUAUUUAUAUAUUUUUAUUUUGUGACAGGGUAUCACUAAGUUAUAGAGGCUGGUCUUAAACUUGUCAUCCUCUUGCCUCAAGUGCCUCAGUUGCUGGGAUUACAGGCCUUCACCACGUGCUGUUUCUGAGCUGGUAUUUAUACCUCCCUCUGGCUGCUACUCGAGACACACUGCUUCAUCCCAAGCCAGCCUCCUUCCCUCUGCAUCUCCUACAUCUUUCCACUGAUCAAGCCUGCUUCAGACCCCAUCCUGGCUGGCAAGCAUUCUCUGAUGGAGCUAAGGGGACCUGCAGCCCUCAGUUUGUCCUUCUCUCAUGGCCCCUGGUAUGUACCCCACAGAGUCUCAUGGAGCCUGUCCAUGACCUGUCUGCCAAUCAACUGGGCUCUGGGAGAUCCCCUCUGGGACACACGGAGGACUCUCCAGCUGUGUGUCUCCUUCCUAGCAGCCUUCAGUGUGGGAGGUUGUCUCCAUAGCUGAUGGCUGAUGGGAAGGAAGAGGCAGCUGCCAAGUGGGAACAGAUGGUGAGUGGAGCACCCCACCACCUCACCCAGGCCAGGCACAGGGGAUGACACUGCUGUGCAAACAGGCAGACACACCCUCUGUCCACUCCACAGAUGCCCCCCUGGAUCAUCAAGGGAAAGAGCCGACCCACCUGGGGCCUGAGGGGUGGAGAGAAGUCCCUCCAUAUGAGCCUAGACUUGGGCUCUGGCUGACAGGCCUAAAAUCCCAACUGCCACCCACUUGGUGUGUCACUAAGCGCUCUUUUUCUGAGAGCUUUAGCUUCCUUCUCUGUAAAGUGGACAUCAUUGACCUCCCUCACAGGGUUUGACUCAAUGGCCACUCCUUUCUUCUUUUCCCUCCCUGGAAGGGGAAAAAAAUGCCAGUUUGGUAUCAGAAAGACAGUAUAGGAGGUAUGGUAUUGGAUUGAGUAGAAGUUCAGAUUUUUCUUUGAAAUUUGAGAGAACUGGAUUCUGUUUGGGAAUUUAUAGCUGUGUGACCACAGCUGCUACCAAGCCCACUUGACAAUGAAUCUGAUAAAUUGUACCUUCCUCUGAGUUGAGGUAUAAGUGUCUAGACUUAUACUCUCCAGAGCCCAGGUGACCCUCUGCAAUACAACAGUACCCUGCAGCCACAUAGGCACUUUUGGGAUAAUCAUGGUGUUUAACCUCUGAGCCGCUGAGCUUCAGCUUACCCAUCUAUAAAAUGGGGUUAUACAGUUACUUCUUGUGUAUUCCCUGAACUGUUAGUAGGUUUAUAUCCAUUGUAAUGUCUACCUCAGUUUCCUUGGGUUCCCAUAGGAACCAAAGAUUGUUACACUCUUUAAAACACAUUUAUAAGUUUUAAAGGUGAGGCUGUGAAAUGUGAACCACACCCAGGUCAGGAUUGGAGUCUCUAGGCCCCCACCUGGGCUGUUCCAGGCCUUUUUGCUAAGACCAGCUUAGGCUGCUGGGUCGAGGGAAGAGGAGCUGGGCCCCAAAAGAUUGAGCCAAACUGGACCCAAUUCUAAUGGGCACACAGGAACCAUGACAGGGUCACUGAAACACAAAUGUUGACCUCUUGGCCAAAAGGAAUUGCAUUGGCCUCCUCCCAGGGCAGGGCUUCCGGACAGUAGGCAAAGCCAGGAGCUUCCUGCAGUGUGGUGGGGGGUGGGUCUGGUUUCCACAGAUGACAAGCACUUAGCCCAGAGCUUGGCACAGAGUGAGUCCCAAUCAGCAUUAACUGUCAUCGCUAAUGUGACAGACAGUGGCUGUCACCUUCCUGACUCCAUAAAGACCUGCGGCACCCACCGAGCUCCAGGCCCUGUAUGAGGGGGGCCCUCCACUCCAGCGUUGCUUUCAGCAGCUCACGGGGCUUAUGAGGCGCAUGCUGGGAAGAAUGUAGAGGCUGUGGAGGACAGAGGAGGGGAAGUGCUCUUAAUCCUCACUGCUGGGGCCAGGAUUGGG